rnacentral:rRNA from 1 species
GCCCUUCGGUUCGGAAUAACUCAGGGAAACUUGUGCUAAUACCGGAUACGUCCGCGAGGAGAAAGAUUUAUCGCCGAAGGAUUGGCCCGCGUCUGAUUAGCUAGUUGGUGAGGUAAUGGCUCACCAAGGCGACGAUCAGUAGCUGGUCUGAGAGGAUGAUCAGCCACACUGGGACUGAGACACGGCCCAGACUCCUACGGGAGGCAGCAGUGGGGAAUAUUGGACAAUGGGCGAAAGCCUGAUCCAGCCAUGCCGCGUGAGUGAUGAAGGCCUUAGGGUUGUAAAGCUCUUUUGCCUGGGAAGAUAAUGACGGUACCAGGAGAAUAAGCCCCGGCAAACUUCGUGCCAGCAGCCGCGGUAAUACGAAGGGGGCUAGCGUUGUUCGGAUUUACUGGGCGUAAAGCGCACGUAGGCGGAUUCUUAAGUCAGGGGUGAAAUCCCGAGGCUCAACCUCGGAACUGCCUUUGAUACUGGGGAUCUUGAGUUCGGGAGAGGUGAGUGGAACUGCGAGUGUAGAGGUGAAAUUC